UACGAAGGGGGCUAGCGUUGCUCGGAAUCACUGGGCGUAAAGGGUGCGUAGGCGGGUCUUUUAAGUCAGGGGUGAAAUCCUGGAGCUCAACUCCAGAACUGCCUUCGAUACUGGCGAUCUUGAGUCCGGAAGAGGUGAGUGGAAUUCCUAGUGUAGAGGUGGAAUUCGUAGAUAUUAGGAAGAACACCAGUGGCGAAGGCGGCUCACUGGCUCGAUACUGACGCUGAGGUGCGAAAGCGUGGGGAGCAAACAGG
rnacentral:rRNA from 1 species